GCUCUCUGUUUCCUUGUGGCAAACAGCCUCCCGCCCGCUUGGCCUGGCACCUCUUCUCCACAGUAACACUGAGAUCCCAGCCGACCUCCCGCCAUGAGAAGCCUCUGCCUGCUCCUUGUUCUUCUCCUCCUCCUCUUCCACGCUGCUCCAGGGUCGGGCCGUGUGCCAGCGCUUCCCUGUCUCCUCAAGGGCGGGAUCUGUUUACCGGAUAUAGGCUUCUGUUCCUCUGGUCUAGCACUGCUACGUGGAACUUGCCCUCCUCUUUUAAUAUGCUGCUAUUCAUAGAGACCAUGCUGACCUGAAGAAAUGUGCAGUGGGGAAACUCCUGGCAUGGAAAGAGAAUACAACCUCUCCUUUCAAUAAAGGCAGCUGUUUAAAUCA